GAAAGAUGCAAGUGAUAUUUUCGAAAAUUAAUAUUAAUUUUUACUGUUAUUUAUUAAUAAAAUUGUAGUAUAAUUACAAAUUUCGAUAUUUUAGACUAAAUUUCAAGUAUAGGAUGUUAGUUAAUGAGUUUUUAAGAGUUAAUUAUAGUGAAAAUAUGAAAAAUAAGCAAUUGGCGCCAAAACUCAGGUUCACCUCCCCCACUUUUCACCCUUGCAUUCAACAGUAAUAGUUAACGGUUAUUGUAAAAACGACGUGUGAAUAAUUGCUCCCUAUUUUUGUUCAAAUAAUUAGUAAUUGUAGCGGGAAUUCACCAUCAGGAAUGCUCCACAAGUAAUUAAAAUAUUUAUCAAUCCUUUGGAGAAUGGUAAUAGACCGAGCUGUCCAAAAUUGAUAAGAGGAAAUCUCAAGCGGAGAUGUCUGAACCAAGGAUGCCUGCCGGUAGUUUUAGGAGCGAUUUAAUAAGCGAAAGGAAAUUCCCAACGAUUCAAAGGAGUGUCAAUUAUCGAAAGUGAGCCCCCCCCCCAAAAAAAUUAGCCGCGUAGAAGAUGCCGAAUUUUCCAAAACGAUCCAAGGAUGUCAUGGAAAAUAAAAAAAAAAAAUCGAAAAAUAGUGUUGUGAAUAGUGAUAGUGUUGUGAAAAGUGAAAAUUCUAAAAAAAAUUGAUAUGUCAUGUUAGGUGGACCCAGACUGAUGUAUAACCCAGCUGAUGGGUAUAUGGCAUAGUUUUAAAUAGUGAUAGUGUUGUGAAUAAUUAUUAGCGAUCUAGCCCAGCUGAUUUGGCUUCUAUAUCGACAUCAACCGGUGAGUGAAUUAAAAUUUCAACUGCGACGUAACAAUUUCAGAAAAACUGAAAAAGACAAAUUUUUUCAGGUUUUUUAAAAACCUAAAAAAGACAACGAUGAUGAAUAUAUGGAAAAAAUAUGAAAUUCAUUUUUAGAGCUUUAAUUAUAUAUUUGAUAACAAAGUUUUUAUUAACAUAUUUCAAAAUUAAAUUCUAUUUAAACCAUUUCACAUUACA